rnacentral:tRNA from 2 species
GGCGGCGUAGCUCAGCUGGUUAGAGCGUCGGACUCAUAACCCGAAGGUCGGUGGUUCGAGCCCACCCGCCGCUA